rnacentral:piRNA from 1 species
UACCACAAUCCUACAGAGAUGGUGAUGA